GGUUUCUUGAUAGAUAUUGGAAAUUUAACCUGCCCACUGAUGAGUUAAAGGGCCGCAGUAUUUUGACUGUGCAAAGGUAGCAUAAUCAUUAGUCUUUUAAUUGGAGGCUGGAAUGAAUGGUUGGACGAGGUAAAAGCUGUCUUUUAUUAAAAGGUUGAAUUUAUAUUUUGAGUAAAAAGACUUAAAUAUAAUUAAGGGACGAGAAGACCCUAUAGAGUUUAAUAAAAUAUAUAUUUGAUUUGGUUUAGGAAGAAUUUAUAGUUAAUAUAGUAUUUAUUUGGUUGGGGUGACUAAAAGAUAUGAAAAACUCUUUUAAAUAUUGAAUAUAAAUUAGUAGAAGUUUGAUCCAUGAAUGAUGAAAAGAAGAAUAAAUUACCUUAGGGAUAACAGCAUAAUCUUCUUUGAUAGUUCUUAUUGAGAAGAAGGAUUAUGACCUCGAUGUUGGAUUAAGAUUAGCUUUGGGUGAAGUAACCUAGAUGUUAGGUCUGUUCGACCUUUAAAUUCUUACA
rnacentral:rRNA from 1 species